rnacentral:rRNA from 1 species
GACGAACGCUGUCGGCGUGCUUAACACAUGCAAGUCGAACGGAAAGGCCCUGCUUUUGUGGGGUGCUCGAGUGGCGAACGGGUGAGUAACACGUGAGUAACCUGCCCUUGACUUUGGGAUAACUUCAGGAAACUGGGGCUAAUACCGGAUAGGAGCUCCUGCUGCAUGGUGGGGGUUGGAAAGUUUCGGCGGUUGGGGAUGGACUCGCGGCUUAUCAGCUUGUUGGUGGGGUAGUGGCUUACCAAGGCUUUGACGGGUAGCCGGCCUGAGAGGGUGACCGGCCACAUUGGGACUGAGAUACGGCCCAGACUCCUACGGGAGGCAGCAGUGGGGAAUAUUGCACAAUGGGCGGAAGCCUGAUGCAGCAACGCCGCGUGCGGGAUGACGGCCUUCGGGUUGUAAGCCGCUUUCGCCUGUGACGAAGCGUGAGUGACGGUAAUGGGUAAAGAAGCACCGGCUAACUACGUGCCAGCAGCCGCGGUGAUACGUAGGGUGCGAGCGUUGUCCGGAUUUAUUGGGCGUAAAGGGCUCGUAGGUGGUUGAUCGCGUCGGAAGUGUAAUCUUGGGGCUUAACCCUGAGCGUGCUUUCGAUACGGGUUGACUUGAGGAAGGUAGGGGAGAAUGGAAUUCCUGGUGGAGCGGUGGAAUGCGCAGAUAUCAGGAGGAACACCAGUGGCGAAGGCGGUUCUCUGGGCCUUUCCUGACGCUGAGGAGCGAAAGCGUGGGGAGCGAACAGGCUUAGAUACCCUGGUAGUCCACGCUGUAAACGGUGGGUACUAGGUGUGGGGUCCAUUCCACGGGUUCCGUGCCGUAGCUAACGCUUUAAGUACCCCGCCUGGGGAGUACGGCCGCAAGGCUAAAACUCAAAGGAAUUGACGGGGCCCCGCACAAGCGGCGGAGCAUGCGGAUUAAUUCGAUGCAACGCGUAGAACCUUACCUGGGUUUGACAUGGAUCGGGAGUGCUCAGAGAUGGGUGUGCCUCUUUUGGGGUCGGUUCACAGGUGGUGCAUGCCUGUCGUCAGCUCGUGUCGUGAGAUGUUGGGUUAAGUCCCGCAACGAGCGCAACCCUUGUUCACUGUUGCCAGCACGUUAUGGUGGGGACUCAGUGGAGACCGCCGGGGUCAACUCGGAGGAAGGUGGGGAUGACGUCGAGUCAUCAUGCCCCUUAUGUCCAGGGCUUCACGCAUGCUACAAUGGCUGGUACAGAGAGUGGCGAGCCUGUGAGGGUGAGCGAAUCUCGGAAAGCCGGUCUCAGUUCGGAUUGGGGUCUGCAACUCGACCUCAUGAAGUCGGAGUCGCUAGUAAUCGCAGAUCAGCAACGCUGCGGUGAAUACGUUCCCGGG